GGGGGCGAUCGGAUUUGACUGGUUCACCGCGGGUGCAGGUUGCGUGUCGUGGUUGAUCAGUUGGCCACGUAAAAAGCUGAUCACACAAUAACUGCCAACAAGCAGUACGCUCUGGCCGCCUAGUUGCGGUCACCGGCCCGUGAGCUUUGCCUGAGGCGAGCGGGACCCGGCAACCAUCAGGCUGGCUUCGGGCCAAGGGUUCCGCAAGGUUCCCGUGGCGGUUCCUCCCGAGGCGAGAACCCUGUGACCGCCUGGUCAGACGCCGGCUGGGCUCCGCGUGCCGGCGGCUGACGACAACGAACGCGAAGAUACACACGUAGACGCCGCAUCUCAGGGUUUACAGGACGCGGGUUCAAUUCCCGCCGCCUCCAUAA
rnacentral:tmRNA from 1 species